UUCCUCCCACUCAAUUCUCUCGAGAGAAACUCCUUCUCGAGAAAAGCUCCGUUUUUAGCAACAAACACUUUGCCCUCGGAUUUGACAUAGAAGGUGUACCCAACUGUCUCUUUUGGGUAACCUAUGAAGACGCACUUUUCCGCUUUGGGUUCCAGCUUUUCAGGCUGAAGCUUUUUGACAUAAGCAUCACAUCCCCAAACUUUAAGAAACGACAACUUUGGCCUUCUGCCAUACCACAGUUCGUAUGGUGUCGUCUCAACGGAUUUUGAUGGUGCCCUAUUUAAAGUGAAUGCAGUUGUUUCUAAUGCAUAACCCCAAAACGAUAACGGCAAAUCAGUAAGAGACAUCAUAGAUCGCACCAUCUCUAAUAGAGUACGAUUACGACGUUCGGACACACCAUUACGCUGUGGUGUUCCAGGCGGUGUUAACUGUGAAACAAUUCCACAUUGUCUUAAGUGAGUACCAAACUCGAAACUCAGAUAUUCACCCCCACGAUCAGACCGUAGGAACUUGAUCUUCUUGUUACGAUGAUUUUCCACUUCACUCUGAAAUUGCUUGAACUUUUCAAAUGUUUCAGACUUGUGCUUCAUCAAGUAGACAUAACCAUAUCUACUUAAAUCGUCAGUGAAGGUGAGAAAAUAACGAUAUCCGCCGCGUGCCUCCACGCUCAUUGGACCACACACAUCGGUAUGUAUGAUUUCCAACAAGUCACUUGCACGCUCCAUUGUUCCGGAGAACGGAGUCUUAGUCAUCUUGCCCAUGAGGCAUGGUUCGCACGUGUCAAGUGAAUCAAAGUCAAGUGACUCCAAAAGUCUAUCAGCAUGGAGUUUCUUCAUGCGCUUUACACCAAUAUGACCCAAGCGGCAGUGCCACAAAAAUAUGGCGCUAUCAUUGUUUACUCUAACUCUUUUGGUCUCAAUGUUAAGUAUAUGUGUAUCGCUAUCAAGAUUCAAUAUGAACAAUCCUCUCACAUUCGGUGCAUGACCAUAAAAGAUGUUACUCAUAGAAAUAGAACAACCAUUAUUCUCAGACUUAAAAGAGUAACCGUCUCGCAAUAAACAAGAUCCAGAUAUAAUGUUCAUGCUCAACGCAGGCACUAAAUAACAAUGAUUUAAGUUCAUCACUAAUCCCGAUGGUAGUUGAAGUGACACUGUGCCGACGGCGAUUGCAUCAACCUUGGAACCAUUUCCUACGCGCAUCGUCACUUCGUCUUUCGCCAGCCUUCGUCUAUUCCGCAGUUCCUGCUUCGAGUUGCAAAUGUGAGCAACAUAACCGGUAUCAAAUACCCAGGCACUACUACGAGAGCCGGUUAAGUACACAUCAAUAACAUGUAUAUCAAAUAUACCUGAUUUUUCUUUGCCCGCCUUCUUAUCUGCCAGAUACUUGGGGCAAUUGCGCUUCCAGUGACCCAUACCCUUGCAAUGGAAGCACUCUGUUUCAGGCUUAGGUCCAGCUUUGGGCUUCUUCGGCGGAUUGGCAACAGGCUUGCCGCUCUUCUUCGAAUUGCCCUUCUUUCCUUUGCCGUUUCUCUUGAAACUAGUGGUCUUGCUCACCAUCAACACUUGAUGCUCUUUACGGAGUUCAGACUCUGCGACUUUCAGCAUCGCAAACAACUCGCCGGGAGACUUGUUCAUCCCUUGCAUGUUGUAGUUCAACACAAAGCCUUUAUAGCUUGGCGGUAGUGAUUGAAGGAUUCUGUCAGUGAUAGCUUCUUGCGGGAGUUCAAUCCCCAGUUCAGCAAGACGGUUUGAGUACCCAGACAUUUUGAGCACAUGUUCACUGACAGACGAGUUUUCCUCCAUCUUGCAAGCAUAGAAUUUAUCGGAGGUCUCAUACCUCUCGAUCCGGGCGUUCUUCUGAAAGAUAAACUUCAACUCCUGGAACAUCUCAAAUGCUCUAUGACGCUCAAAGCGACGUUGAAGUCCCGGUUCUAAGCCAUACAAGACUGCACAUUGAACUAUUGAGUAGUCCUCCUUACGCGCUAACCAAGCGUUCUUAACAUCCUGAUCAGCCGUAGCGGGUGGUUCAUCUCCUAGCGCAGCAUUAAGGACAUAAUCCUUCUUUCCAGCUUGUAAGAUUAGCUUAAGAUUACGAGCCCAGUCUACAAAGUUGCUUCCAUCAUCUUUCAACUUAGCUUUCUCUAGGAACGUAUUAAAAUUCAGGAUGACACUUGCGUGAGCCAUGAUCUACAACAAGUAUAUAUUCAAAGUGGACUUAGACUAUGUUCAAGAUAAUUAGAGUUCAACUUAAUCAAAUUAUAUGCUAAACUCCCACUCAAAAAGUACAUCUCUCUAGUCAUUUGAGUGGUUCAUGAUCCACUUACACUAUCCCAAGUCCGAUCAUCACGUGAGUUGAGUAUAGUUUCAGUGGUAAGCAUCCCUAUGCUAAUCAUAUCAACUAUAUGAUUCAUGAUCGACCUUUUGGUCUCAUGUGUUCCGAGGCCAUGUCUGCACAUGCUAGGCUUAUCAAGCUUAACCCGAGUGUUCCGCGUGCGCAACUGUUUUGCACCCGUUGUAUGUGAACGUUGAGUCUAUCACACCCGAUCAUCACGUGGUGUCUCGAAACGACGAACUGUAGCAACGGUGCACAGUCGGGGAGAACACAAUUUCGUCUUGAAAUUUUAGUGAGAGAUCACCUCAUAAUGCUACCGUCGUUCUAAGCAAAAUAAGGUGCAUAAAAGGAUUAACAUCACAUGCAAUUCAUAAGUGACAUGAUAUGGCCAUCAUCACGUGCUUCUUGAUCUCCAUCACCAAAGCACCGGCACGAUCUUCUUGUCACCGGCGCCACACCAUGAUCAUCCAUCAACGUGUUGCCAUCGGGGUUGUCGUGCUACUUAUGCUAUUACUACUAAAGCUACAUCCUAGCAAAAUAGUAAACGCAUCUGCAAGCACAUAUGUUAGUAUAAAGACAACCCUAUGGCUCCUGCCGGUUGCCGUACCAUCGACGUGCAAGUCGAUAUUUCUAUUACAACAUGAUCAUCUCAUACAUCCAAUAUAUCACAUCACAUCGUUGGCCAUAUCACAUCACAUUCAUACCCUGCAAAAACAAGUUAGACGUCCUCUAAUUUUGUUGUUGCAUGUUUUACGUGGUGACCAAGGGUAUCUAGUAGGAUCACAUCUUACUUACGCAAACACCACAACGGAGAUAUAUGAGUUGCUAUUUAACCUCAUCCAAGGACCUCCUCGGUCAAAUCCGAUUCAACUAAAGUUGGAGAAACCAUCACUUGCCAGUCAUCUUUGAGCAAAGGGGGAUACUCGUAACGAUGAAACCAGUCUCUCGUAAGCGUACGAGUAAUGUCGGUCCAAGCCGCUUCAAUCCAACAAUACCGCAGAAUCAAGAAAAGACUAAGGAGGGCAGCAAAACGCACAUCACCACCCACAAAACCUUUUGUGUUCUACUCGAGAAGACAUCUACGCAUGAACCUAGCUCAUGAUGCCACUGUUGGGGAACGUCGCAUGGGAAACAAAAAUUUUCCUACGCGCACGAAGACCUAUCAUGGUGAUGUCCAUCUACGAGAGGGGAUGAGUGAUCUACGUACCCUUGUAGAUCGUACAGCAGAAGCGUUAGAGAACGCGGUUGAUGUAGUGGAACGUCCUCACGUCCCUCGAUCCGCCCCGCGAACAAUCCCGCGAUCAGUCCCACGAUCUAGUACCGAACGGACGGCACCUCCGCGUUCAGCACACGUACAGCUCGACGAUGAUCUCGGCAUUCUUGAUCCAGCAAGAGAGACGGAGAGGUAGAAGAGUUCUCCGGCAGCGUGACGGCGCUCCGGAGGUUGGUGAUAAUCUCGUCUCAGCAGGGCUCCGCCCGAGCUCCGCAGAAACGCGAUCUAGAGGAAAAACUAUGGAGGUAUGUGGUCGGGCAGCCGUGAGAAAGUCGUCUCAAAUCUGCCCUAAAAGCCCCAUAUAUAUAGGAGGAGGGAGGGGGACCUUGCCUUGGGGUCCAAGGGACUCCCAAGGGGUCGGCCGAGCCAAGGGGGGAGGACUCCCCCCCAAACCGAGUUGGACUUGGUUUGGUGGGAGGAGUCCCCCUCCCUUCCCACUUCUUCCCUCCUUUUUUCCUUUCUUUUCCUUUGAUUUCUUUCUCUUGGCGCAUAGGCCCCCUUGGGGCUGUCCCACCAGCCCACUAAGGGCUGGUGUGUCUCCCCAAAGCCUAUGGGCUUCCCCGGGGUGGGUUGCCCCCCCGGUGAACUCCCGGAACCCAUUCGUCAUUCCCGGUACAUUCCCGGUAACUCCGAAAACCUUCCGGUAAUCAAAUGAGGUCAUCCUAUAUAUCAAUCUUCGUUUCCGGACUAUUCCGGAAACCCUCGUGACGUCCGUGAUCUCAUCCGGGACUCCGAACAACAUUCGGUAACCAACCAUAUAACUCAAAUACGCAUAAANNNNNNNNNNNNNNNNNNNNNNNNNNNNNNNNNNNNNNNNNNNNNNNNNNNNNNNNNNNNNNNNNNNNNNNNNNNNNNNNNNNNNNNNNNNNNNNNNNNNUCCCACUUGCACUAGAGUCAAUAAUCUAGCCCUCACAUCAUCAUGUGAAUUACAUUGUAAUAAAUCUAACACCCAUACAGUUCUGGUGUUGAUCAUGCUUUGGCCGUGGAAGAGGUUUAGUCAGCGGGUCUGCUACAUUCAGAUCCGUGUGCACUUUGCAUAUAUUUACGUCCUCUCCCUCGACGUAAUCGCGGAUGAGGUUGAAGCGUCGUUUGAUGUGUCUGGUCUUCUUGUGAAACCGUGGUUCCUUUGCUAAGGCAAUGGCACCCGUGUUGUCACAGAACAAGGUUAUUGGAUUCAGUGCGCUUGGCACCACUCCAAGAUCCGUCAUGAACUGCUUCAUCCAGACACCCUCCUUAGCCGCCUCCGAGGCAGCCAUGUACUCCGCUUCACAUGUAGAAUCUGCUACGACGCUUUGCUUGGAACUGCACCAGCUUACCGCACCCCCAUUCAGAAUAAAUACAUAUCCGGUUUGCGACUUAGAGUCGUCCGGAUCUGUGUCAAAGCUUGCAUCGACGUAACCUUUUAUGACGAGCUCUUCGUCACCUCCAUACACGAGAAACAUCUCCUUAGUCCUUUUCAGGUACUUCAGGAUAUUCUUGACCGUUGUCCAAUGAUCCACUCCUGGAUUACUCUGGAACCUACCUGCCAUACUUAUGGCCAGGCUAACAUCCGGUCUAGUGCACAGCAUUGCAUACAUGAUAGAACCUAUGGCUGAAGCAUAGGGGACGGUGCGCAUAUGCUCUCUAUCUUCAUCAGUUGUUGGGCACUAAGUCUUACUCAAUCUCGUACCUUGUAAAACUGGCAAGAACCCUUUCUUGGACUGUUCCAUUUUGAACCUCUUCAAAACUUUAUCAAGGUAUGUGCUUUGUGAAAGUCCUAUCAGGCGUUUUGAUCUAUCCCUAUAAAUCUUAAUGCCUAGAAUGUAAGCAGCUUCUCCUAGGUCCUUUAUAGAGAAACUCUUAUUCAAGUAAUCCUUUAUGCUCUCCAAAAACUCUACGUUGUUUCCAAUCAGUAAUAUGUCAUCCACAUAUAAUAUUAGAAACGCCACAGAGCUCCCAUUCACUUUCUUGUAAAUACAAGAUUCUCCAACCACUUGUAUAAACCCAAAUGCUUUGAUCACCUCAUCAAAGUGUUUGUUCCAACUCCGAGAUGCUUGCACCAGUCCAUAAAUGGAUCGCUGGAGCUUGCACACCUUGUUAUCAUUCUUAGGAUCGACAAAACCUUCGGGUUGUAUCAUAUACAACUCUUCCUUAAGGAAACCGUUAAGGAAUGCCGUUUUGACAUCCAUCUGCCAGAUUUCAUAAUCGAAAAAUGCAGCUAUUGCUAACAUGAUUCUGACGGACUUAAGCAUCGCUACGGGUGAGAAUGUCUCAUCGUAGUCAACUCCUUGAACUUGUGAAAAACCCUUUGCCACAAGUCGAGCUUUAUAAACGGUCACAUUGGCGUCAGCGCCCGUCUUCCUCUUAAAGAUCCAUUUGUUCUGAAUAGCCUUGCGGCCCUCAGGUAGUUCCUCCAAAGUCCACACUUUGUUUCAUACAUGGAUCCUAUCUCGGACUUCAUGGCUUCUAGCCAUUUGUUGGAAUCUGGGCCCACCAUUGCUUCUUCAUAAUUUGCAGGUUCAUUGUNNNNNNNNNNNNNNNNNNNNNNNNNNNNNNNNNNNNNNNNNNNNNNNNNNNNNNNNNNNNNNNNNNNNNNNNNNNNNNNNNNNNNNNNNNNNNNNNNNNNAACGUAACUGGGUGACUAUAAAGAUGCUCUACAGGUAUCUCCGAAGGUGUUAGUUGAGUUAGUAUGGAUCGAGACUGGGAUUUGUCACUCCGUGUGACGGAGAGGAAUCUCGGGGCCCACUCGGUAAUACAACAUCACACACAAGCCUUGCAAGCAAUGUGACUUAGUGUAAGUUGCGGUAUCUUGUAUUAUGGAACGAGUAAAGAGACUUGCGGGUAAACGAGAUUGAAAUAGGUAUGCGGAUACUGACGAUCGAAUCUCGGGCAAGUAACAUACCGAAGGACAAAGGGAAUGACAUACGGGAUUAUAUGAAUCCUUGGCACUGAGGUUCAAACGAUAAGAUCUUCGUAGAAUAUGUAGGAUCCAAUAUGGGCAUCCAGGUCCCGCUAUUGGAUAUUGACCGAGGAGUCUCUCGGGUCAUGUCUACAUAAUUCUCGAACCCGCAGGGUCUGCACACUUAAGGUUCGACGUUGUUUUAUGUGUAUUUGAGUUAUAUGGUUGGUUACCGAAUGUUGUCCGGAGUCCCGGAUGAGAUCACAGACGUCACGAGGGUUUCCGGAAUGGUCCAGAAACGAAGAUUGAUAUAUAGGAUGACCUCAUUUGAUUACCGGAAGGUUUUCGGAGUUACCGGGAAUGUACCGGGAAUGACGAAUGGGUUCCGGNNNNNNNNNNNNNNNNGUUUUCGGAGUUACCGGGAAUGUACCGGGAAUGACGAAUGGGUUCCGGAUGUUCACCGGGGGGGCAACCCACCUCGGGGAAGCCCAUAGGCCUUGGGGGUGGCGCACCAGCCCUUAGUGGGCUGGUGGGACAGCCCAAGAAGGCCCUAUGCGCCAUAGGAAGAAAAUCAAAGAGAAAAGAAAAAAAAAGGAGGAGGUGGGAAAGGGAAGAAGGACUCCACCUUCCAAACCAAGUUGGAUUCGGUUUGGGAGGGGAGAACUUCCCCCCUUGGCUCGGCCGACCCCCUUGGGGGUCCUUGAGCCCCAAGGCAAGGCUCCCCCUCUUCCCCCUAUAUAUACGGAGGUUUUAGGGCUGAUUUGAGACGACUUUUCCACGGCAGCCCGACCACAUACCUCCACGGUUUUUCCUCUAGAUCGCGUUUCUGCGGACCUCGGGCGGAGCCGUGCUGAGAUAAGAUCACCACCAACCUCCGGAGCACUGUCACGCUGUCGGAGAACUCCUCUACCUCUCCGUCUAUCUUGCUGGAUCAAGAAGGCCGAGAUCUUCGUCGAGCUGUACGUGUGCUGAACGCGGAGGUGCCGUCCGUUCGGCACUAGAUCGUGGGACUGAUCGUGGAACUGAUCGCGGGACGGUUCGCGGGGCGGAUCGAGGGACGUGAGGACGUUCCACUACAUCAACCGCGUUCACUAACGCUUCUGCUGUACAGUCUACAAGGGUAUGUAGAUCACAUAUCCCCUCUCGUACAUGGACAUCACCAUGAUAGGUCUUCGUGCGCGUAGGAAAUUUUUUGUUUCCCAUGCGACGUUCCCCAACAGUGGCAUCAUGAGCUAGGUUCAUGCGUAGAUGUCUUCUCGAGUAGAACACAAAAGUUUUUGUGGGCGGUGAUGUGCGUUUUGCUGCCCUCCUUAGUCUUUUCUGGAUUCCACGGUAUUGUUGGAUUGAAGCGGCUUGGACCGACAUUACUCGUACGCUUACGAGAGACUGGUUUCAUCGCUACGAGUAACCCCGUUGCUCAAAGAUGACUGGCAAGUGUCAGUUUCUCCAACUUUAGUUGAAUCGGAUUUGACUGAGGAGGUCCUUGUAUAAGGUUAAAUAGCAAUUCAUAUAUCUCCGUUGUGGUGUUUGCGCAAGUAAGAUGCGAUCCUACUAGAUACCCAUGGUCACCACGUAAAACAUGCAACAACAAAAUUAGAGGACGUCUAACUUGUUUUUGCAGGGUAUGCUUGUGAUGUGAUAUGGCCAACGAUGUGAUGUGAUAUAUUGGAUGUAUGAGAUGAUCAUGUUGUAAUAGAUAAUAUCGACUUGCACGUCGAUGGUACGGCAACCGGCAGGAGCCAUCAGGUUGUCUUUAAACUAACGUUUGUGCUUGCAGAUGCGUUUACUAUUUUGCUAGGAUGUAGCUUUAGUAGUAAUAGCAUGAGUAGCAUGACAACCCCGAUGGCGACACGUUGAUGGAGAUCAUGAUGAUGGAGAUCAUGAUGUGACGCCGGUGACAAGAAGAUCGUGCCGGUGCUUUGGUGAUGGAGAUCAAGAAGCACGUGAUGAUGGCCAUAUCAUGUCACUUAUGAAUUGCAUGUGAUGUUAAUCCUUUUUUGCACCUUAUCUUGCUUAGAACGACGGUAGCAUUAUGAGGUGAUCUCUCACUAAAAUUUCAAGACGAAAUUGUGUUCUCCCCGACUGUGCACCGUUGCGACAGUUCUUCGUUUCGAGACACCACGUGAUGAUCGGGUGUGAUAGACUCAACGUUCACAUACAACGGGUGCAAAACAGUUGCACACGCGGAACACUCGGGUUAAGCUUGACGAGCCUAGCGUGUGCAGACAUGGCCUCGGAACACAUGAGACCGAAAGGUCGAGCAUGAAUCGUAUAGUUGAUAUGAUUAGCAUAGAGAUGCUUACCACUGAAACUAUUCUCAACUCACGUGAUGAUCGGACUUGAGAUAGUGGAUUUGGAUCAUGUACCACUCAAAUGACUAGAGAGAUGUACUUUUUGAGUGGGAGUUCUUAAGUCAUAUGAUUAAUUGAACUAAUUGUCAUGAACAUAGUCUAAUGGUCUUUGCGAAUUACGAUGUAGCUUGCGCUAUAGCUCUACUGUUUUUAUAUGUUCCUAGAGAAAAUUUAGUUGAAAGUUGAUAGUAGCAAACUUUGCACAGGAUUGUCCUCGUUGCUGCGCAGAAGGCUUAUGUCCUUAAUGCACCACAAGGUGUGCUGCACCUCGAGCGUCGUCUGUGGAUGCUGUGAACAUCCGACAUACACGUUUCUGAUAACUACACGAUAGUUCAGUGCAAAAUACUUAAUGGCUUAGAAGCAAGGCGCCGAAGACGUUUUGAGACGUCACGGAACAUAAGUGAUGUUCUAAAGAGAUGAAAUUGUGAUUUCAUGCUUGUGCCCUUGUUAAGAGGUACGAGACCUCCGACAAGAUUCUUUGUCCACAAAGUAAAGGAGAAAAGCUCAAUCAUUGAGCGUGUGCUCAGAUUGUCUGAGUACGACAAUCGCUUGAAUCAAGUGGGAGUUAAUCUUCCAGAUGAGAUAGUGAUGGUUCUCCAAAAUCACUGCCACCAAGCUGUGAGAGCUUCGUGAUGAACUAUAACAUAUCAAGGAUAGAUACAAUGAUCCUUGAGCAAUUCGCGAUGUUUGACACUGCGAAAGUAGAAAUCAAGAAGAAGCAUCAAUAGUUGAUGGUUAGUAAAACCACUAAGUUUCAAGAAAGGCAAGGGCUAGAAGGGAUACUUCGUGAAACGGCAACAGUUGCUGCACUAAUGAAGAGACCCAAGAUUAAACCCAAACCCGAGACUAAGUGCUUCUGUAAUGAGGGGAACAGUCACUGAGGCGGAGCAACUCUAGAUACUUGGUAGAUAAGAAGGCUGGCAAAAGUCGAAAGAAGUAUAUUUGAUAUACAUGAUGUUGAUGUGUACUUUACUAGUACUCCUAGUAGCACGAGGGUAUUGGAUACCGGUUCGGUUGCUAAGUGAUUAGUAACACGAAAUGAAAGCUACGGCAUAAACGGAGACUAGCUAAAGGCGAGGUGACGAUACGUGUUGGAAGUGUUUCCAAGGUUGAUAUGAUCGAACGUCGCACGCUCCCUCUACCAUCGGGAUUGGUGUUAAACCUAAAUAAUUGUUAUUUGGUGCUUGCGUUAAGCAUGAACAUGAUUGGAUCGUGUUUAUUGCAAUAUGAUUAUUCAUUUAAAGAGAAUAAUGGUUACUCUAUUUUCUUGAAUAAUCACCUUCAAUGGUUUAUUGAAUCUCGAUUGUAGUGUUACACAUGUUCAUGAUAUUGGUGCCAAAAGAUACGAGGUAAUGAUGAUAGUACCACUUACUUGUGGCACUGCCGCUUGAGUCAUGUUGGUAUAAAUUGCAUGAAGAGGCUCCAUGCUGAUGGAUCUUUAUACUCACUUGAUUUUGAAUCACUAGUGACAUGCAAAUCAUACCACAUGAGCAAAGCCUUGUUUUCAUUGAGAUGAAACAAGAUAGUAACUUGUUGGAACUGAUGCAUUUUGAUGUAUGUAGUCCAAUGGGUGCUGAGGCACGCAGUGGAUGUCAUUAUGUUCUUACUUCAAUGACGAUUUGAGUAGAUACAAGAGUAUUUACUUAAUGAAUCACAAGUCUGAAAUAUUGAAAAGUUCACUUAUGUUUCGGAGUGAAGUUCGUCGUAACAAGAGGAUAAAUUGUCUACGAUAUGAUCAUAGAAAUGAAUAUCUGAGUUACGAGUUUUGGUACGCAGUUAAGACAAUGUGGAAAUUGUUUCGCAGUUCAUGCCACCUGGAACAUCAUAGUGUGAUGAUGUGUCUGAACGUCAUAGCCACGCAUUAUUUGGUAUGGUGCAUGCUAUGAUGUCUCUUAUCGAAUUACCACUAUCGUUUAUGGGUUAUGCAUUAGAGACAACCGCAUUCACUUUAAAUAGGGCACCGCGUAUUUCCGUUGAGAUGACACAGUGUAGACUGAGGUUUAGAGAAAUCUAAACUGUCGUUUCUUGAAAGUUUGGGGCUUCGACACUUAUGUGAAAAAGUUUCAGUCUUGUAAGCUCGAACCCAAAGCGGAUAAAUGCAUCUUCAUAGGAUAUCCAAAACAGUUGGGUACAUCUCCUAUCUCAGAUCCGAAAGCAAAGUGUUUGUUUCUAGAAACGGAUCCUUUCUCUAGGAAAGGUUUCUCUCGAAAGAAUUGAGUGGGAGGGUGGUAGAACUUGAUGAGGUUAUUGAACCAUCACUUCAACCAGUGUGUAGCAGGGCGCAGGAAGUUGUUCCUGUGGCGCCUACACCAAUUGAAGUGGAAGCUGAUGAUGGUGAUCAUUGAGCAUCGGAUCAAGUUACUACAAUCCUCGUAGGUUGACAAGGUCACGUACUACUGCAGAGUGGUACGGUAACCCAGUCUUGGAAUUCAUGUUGUUGAGCAACAGUGAACCUACGAGUUAUGAAGAAAGCAAUGGUGGGCCCGGAUUCCGACAAAUGGCUGGAGGCCAUGAAAUCCGAGAGAGGAUCCAUGUAUGAAAACAAAGUGUAGACUUUGGAAGAACUACUUGAUGGUCGUAGGACUAUUGAGUAAAGAUGGAUCUUUAAAAGGAAGACAGACGAUGAUAGUGAUAAGUCACUAUUAAGAAAAGCUCGACUUGUCGCAAAGAUGUUUCCGACAAGAUCAAACAGUUGACUAUGAUGAGACUUUCUCACUCGUAGCGAUGCUAAAAGUCUGUUAGAAUUAUGUUAGUAGUUGAUGCAUUAUUUAUGAAAUAUUGCAUGUAGGAUGUCAAAACAUUGUUUCCUCGACGGUUUCCUUGAGCAAACAUUGUAUGAGAUACAACCAUGAGGUUUUGUCGAUCCUAAAGAUACUAGCAAGUAUGCAAGCUCCAGCGAUCCUUAAAUGGACUGGUGCAAGCAUCUCGGAGUUGGAAUAUACACUUUGAUGAGAUGAUCAAGGAUUUUGGGUUUGUACAAGGUUUAUGAGAAACUUGUAUUUCCAAAGAAGUGAGUGGGAGCACUAUAGAAUUUGUGAUAAGUAUAUGUGGUUGACAUAUUGUGGAUCAGAAGUAAUGUAGAAUUUCUGUAAAGCAUACAAGGUUGUUUGAAAGGAGUUUUCAAAGGAAUACCUGGAUUGAGCUACUUGAACGUUGAGCAUCAAAUAUCUAUGUAGAUAGAUCGAAAGCGCUUAAUGGAAGUUUCAACAAGAUUCAUGCCUUGACAAGUUUUGAAGGAGUUCAAAAUAGAUCAGCAAAGAAGGAGUUCUUGGUUGCGUUGUAAGGUGUGAAUUUGAGUAAGACUUAAAACCUGACCACGGCAGAAUAAAGAGAAUAGACGAAGGUCGUCUUCUAUGCCUUAGCCGUAGACUCUAAAGUAUGCCAUGCUGAGUACCGCACCUGAUGUGUGCCUUGCAGCAAGUCUGUUGAGAGGUACAGAGAGUGAUCCAUGAUUGAAUCACUAGCAGCGGUCAAAUUUUAUCCUUAGUAACUGAUGGACUAAGGAUUUUUUCUCGAUUAUGGAGGUGGUUAAAGAGUUUGUCGUAAAGGGUUACGUCGAUGUAAGCUUUGACACUAAUCCGAAUAACUAUGAGUAGUGAAACGGAUUCGUAUAGUAGAGUAGAUAUUUGGAGUAUUUCCGAAUAGCACAUAGUAGCAGCAUCUAUAAGAUGACAUAAAGAUUUGUAAAGAACACACGGAUCUGAAAAUUUCAGAACCGUUGACUAAAACCUCUCUCAUGAGCAAGACAUGAUCAGACCCCAUAACUAUAUGGGUGUUGGAUUCGUUGGAAUCACAUGGUGAUGUGAACUAGAUUAUUGACUCUAGUGCAAGUGGGAGACUGUUGGAAAUAUGCCCUAGAGGCAAUAAUAAAUUAGUUAUUAUUAUAUUUCUUUGUUCAUGAUAAUCGUUUAUUAUCCAUGCUAUAAUUGUAUUGAUUGGAAACACAAUACUUGUGUGGAUACAUAGACAAAACACUGUCCCUAGUAAGCCUCUAGUUGACUAGCUCGUUGAUCAAAGAUGGUCAAGGUUUCCUGACCAUGGGCAAGUGUUGUCACUUGAUAACGGGAUCACAUCAUUAGGAGAAUCAUGUGAUGGACUAAGACCCAAACUAAUAGACGUAGCAUGUUGAUCGUGUCAUUUUGUUGCUACUGUUUUCUGCGUGUCACGUAUUUGUUCCUAUGACCAUGAGAUCAUAUAACUCACUCACACCGGAGGAAUGCUUUGUGUGUAUCAAACGUCGCAACGUAACUGGGUGACUAUAAAGAUGCUCUACAGGUAUCUCCGAAGGUGUUAAUUGAGUUAGUAUGGAUCGAGACUGGGAUUUGUCACUCCGUGUGAUGGAGAGGAAUCUCGGGGCCCACUCGGUCAUACAACAUCACACACAAGCCUUGCAAGCAAUGUGACUUAGUGUAAGUUGCGGGAUCUUGUAUUACGGAACGAGUAAAGAGACUUGCCGGUAAACAAGAUUGAAAUAGGUAUGCGGAUACUGAUGAUCGAAUCUCGGGCAAGUAACAUACCGAAGGACAAAGGGAAUGACAUACGGGAUUAUAUGAAUCCUUGGCACUGAGGUUCAAACGAUAAGAUCUUCGUAGAAUAUGUNNNNNNNNNNNNNNNNNNNNNNNNNNNNNNNNNNNNNNNNNNNNNNNNNNNNNNNNNNNNNNNNNNNNNNNNNNNNNNNNNNNNNNNNNNNNNNNNNNNNCAUCCAUGCCUAUUAGAUGCUAGUGCCUCGGCCCCCUCCGCCUCUUCAACAAGCUUACCUCGCCGUGCGUGGUCCUGCUCUACCCGCCCCGCUGAUGGUUGGCGGCUACCCUGCUGCUCUGAUGCCUUCCUACGGAGGGCCCCCUACGGCGGGGCCUCCCCACAGCAGGCGCCUUCGCCGUGAGAUCCUGCUCUUUUGGCAGCGCUGCACUCGCGCCCCCCUCCCCGAGCAACUAUGGGGGCGGCGGCGACUGGUACAUGGACUCGGGUGCCACUGCUCACAUGACCUCUCAUACCGGUAACCUUAUCUCCUCUACUCCAGUUCAUACUCCUACUUGUAUCACCGUUGGUAAUGGUUCAUCUUUACCCAUCACACAUAUAGGGCAUACAUCGUUUCCCUCUUCAUCUACACCUAUCAACAUGUCUAAUGUUCUUGUUUCUCCCGAAUUAGUCACGAAACUUUGUUCUGUUCGUUGCCUUGCUCGUGAGAAUCCUCUUACUGUUGAAUUUGACGUUGUCGAUUUUACUGUGAAGGAUGCCCCUACCCGGAUGGUACUGCACCGAUGUGAUAGCUCUCAGGAUCUCUACCCGGUGCAUCCCUCCGCCGCUGCCUCCACCCGCCCCGUCUCCCUCGCCGCUGGUGUCGACCUUUGGCAUGCUCGCCUGGGCCAUCCUGUUGGAAUUAUGCCCUAGAGGCAAUAAUAAAUAUAGUUAUUAUUAUAAUUCCUGUAUCAAGAUAAUCGUUUAUUAUCCAUGCUAUAAUUGUAUUGAAUGAAGACUCAUUUACAUGUGUGGAUACAUAGACAAAACACCGUCCCUAGCAAGCCUCUAGUUGGCUAGCCAGUUGAUCAAAGAUAGUCAGUGUCUUCUGAUUAUGAACAAAGUGUUGUUGCUUGAUAACUGGAUCACGUCAUUAGGAGAAUCACGUGAUGGACUAGACCCAAACUAAUAGACGUAGCAUGUUGAUCGUGUCAUUUUGUUGCUACUGUUUUCUGCGUGUCAAGUAUUUAUUCCUAUGACCAUGAGAUCAUAUAACUCACUGACACCGGAGGAAUGCUUUGUGUGUAUCAAACGUCGCAACGUAACUGGGUGACUAUAAAGAUGCUCUACAGGUAUCUCCGAAGGUGUUAGUUGAGUUAGUAUGGAUCAAGACUGGGAUUUGUCACUCCGUGUGACGGAGAGGUAUCUCGGGGCCCACUCGGUAAUACAACAUCACACACAAGCCUUGCAAGCAAUGUAACUUAGUGUAAGUUGCGGGAUGUUGUAUUACGGAACGAGUAAAGAGACUUGCCGGUAAACGAGAUUGAAAUAGGUAUGCGGAUACUGACGAUCGAAUCUCGGGCAAGUAACAUACCGAAGGACAAAGGGAAUGACAUACGGGAUUAUAUGAAUCCUUGGCACUGAGGUUCAAACGAUAAGAUCUUCAUAGAAUAUGUAGGAUCCAAUAUGGGCAUCCAGGUCCCGCUAUUGGAUAUUGACCGAGGAGUCUCUCGGGUCAUGUCUACAUAAUUCUCGAACCCGCAGGGUCUGCACACUUAAGGUUCGACGUUGUUUUAUGCGUAUUUGAGUUAUAUGGUUGGUUACCGAAUGUUGUUCGGAGUCCCGGAUGAGAUCAUGGACGUCACGAGGGUUUCCAGAAUGGUCCGGAAACGAAGAUUGAUAUAUAGGAUGACCUCAUUUGAUUACCGGAAGGUUUUCGGAGUUACCGGGAAUGUACCGGGAAUGACGAAUGGGUUCCGGGAGUUCACCGGGGGGGCAACCCACCCCGGGGAAGCCCAUAGGCCUUGAGAGUGGCACACCAGCCCUUAGUGGGCUGGUGGGACAGCCCAAAAGGGCCCUAUGCGCCUAGGAAAGAAAAUCAAAGAGAAAAGAAAAAAAGGGAGGUGGGAAGGGAAGGAAGGACUCCCACCCACCAAACCAAGUCCAACUCGGUCUGGGGGGGAGCCUUCCCCUUUGGACUCGGCCGACCCCCUUGGGGCUCCUUGAGCCCCAAGGCAAGGUCCCCUCCCUCCCACCUAUAUAUACGGAGGUUUUAGGGCUGAUUUGAGACGACUUUUCCACGGCAGCCCGACCACAUACCUCCACGGUUUUUCCUCUAGAUCGCGUUUCUGCGGAGCUCGGGCGAAGCCCUGCUGAGACAAGGUCAUCACCAACCUCCGGAGCGCCGUCACGCUGCCGGAGAACUCUUCUACCUCUCCGUCUCUCUUGCUGGAUCAAGAAGGCCGAGAUCAUCGUCGAGCUGUACGUGUGCUGAACGCGGAGGUGUCGUCCGUUCGGUACUAGAUCGUGGGACUGAUCGCGGGAUUGUUCGCGGGGCGGAUCGAGGGAUGUGAGGACGUUCCACUACAUCAACCGUGUUCACUAACGCUUCUGCUGUACGAUCUACAAGGGUACGUAGAUCACUCAUCCCCUCUCGUAGAUGGACAUCACCAUGAUAGGUCUUCGUGCGCGUAGGAAAUUUUUUGUUUCCCUUGCGACGUUCCCCAACAGUGGCAUCAUGAGCUAGGUUCAUGCGUAGAUGUCUUCUCGAGUAGAACACAAAAGUUUUUGUGGGCGGUGAUGUGCGUUUUGCUGCCCUCCUUAGUCUUUUCUUGAUUCUGCGGUAUUGUUGGAUUGAAGCGGCUUGGACCGACAUUACUCGUAUGCUUACGAUAGACUGGUUUCAUCGCUACGAGUAACACCGUUGCUCAAAGAGGACUGGCAAGUUUCGGUUUCUCCAACUUUAGUUGAAUCGGAUUUGACCGAGGAGGUCCUUGGAUGAGGUUAAAUAGCAACUCAUAUAUCUCCGUUGUGGUGUUUGCGUAAGUAAGAUGCGAUCCUACUAGAUACCCAUGGUCACCACGUAAAACAUGCAACAACAAAAUUAGAGGACGUCUAACUUGUUUUUGCAGGGUAUGGUUGUGAUGUGAUAUGGCCAACGAUGUGAUGUGAUAUAUUGGAUGUAUGAGAUGAUCAUGUUGUAAUAGCCAAUAUCGACUUGCACGUCGAUGGUACGGCAACCGGCAAGAGCCAUGUGGUUGUCUUUACACUAACGUUUGUGCUUGCAGAUGCGUUUACUAUUUUGCUAGGAUGUAGCUUUAGUAGUAAUAGCAUGAGUAGCACGACAACCCCGAUGGCAACACGUUGAUGGAGAUCAUGGUGUGGCCCCGGUGACAAGAAGAUCGUGUCGGUGCUUUGGUGAUGGAGAUCAAGAAGCACGUGAUGAUGGCCAUAUCAUGUCACUUAUGAAUUGCAUGUGAUGUUAAUCCUUUUAUGCACCUUAUUUUUCUUAGAACGACGGUAGCAUUAUGAGGUGAUCUCUCACUAAAAUUUCAAGACGAAAUUGUGUUCUCCCCGACUGUGCACCGUUGCUACAGUUCGUCGUUUCGAGACACCACGUGAUGAUCGGGUGUGAUAGACUCAACGUUCACAUACAACGGGUGCAAAACAGUUGCGCACGCGGAACACUCGGGUUAAGCUUGACGAGCCUAGCAUGUGCAGACAUGGCCUCGGAACACAUGAGACCGAAAGGUCGAGCAUGAAUCGUAUAGUUGAUAUGAUUAGCAUAGAGAUGCUUACCACUGAAACUAUUCUCAACUCACGUGAUGAUCGGACUUGAGAUAGUGGAUUUGGAUCAUGUACCACUCAAAUGACUAGAGAGAUGUACUUUUUGAGUGGGAGUUCUUAAGUCAUAUGANNNNNNNNNNNNNNNNNNNNNNNNNNNNNNNNNNNNNNNNNNNNNNNNNNNNNNNNNNNNNNNNNNNNNNNNNNNNNNNNNNNNNNNNNNNNNNNNNNNNAUAGAGAUGUUGGAGAGCAUAAAGGCCUAUUUGAACAAGAGUUUUUCAAUGAAGGACCUUGGAGAAGCUGCAUACAUAUUAGGCAUCAAGAUCUAUAGAGAUAGAUCGAGACGCCUCAUAGGUCUUUCGCAAAGUACAUACCUUGACAAGAUAUUGAAGAAGUUCAAUAUGGAAAACUCAAAGAAAGGGUUCAUGCCAGUUUUGCAAGGUAUGAGAUUGAGUAAGACUCAGUCGCCGACCACGGCAGUAGAUAGAGAGAAGAUGAGUUAUGUCCCCUACGCUUCAGCCGUAGGUUCUCUUAUGUAUGCCAUGUUGUGUACCAGACCUGAUAUAAACCUUGCCAUAAGUUUGGUAGGGAGGUACCAAAGUGAACCCGGUAUGGAACACUGGACAACGGUCAAGAAUAUCCUUAAGUACCUGAAAAGGACUAAGGAAAUGUUUCUCGUUUAUGGAGGUGACGAAGAGCUCGUCGUAAAGGGUUACGUCGACGCUAGCUUUGACACAGAUCCGGAUGACUCUAAGUCACAGACCGGAUACAUAUAUGUUUUGAAUGGUGGGGCAGUGAGCUGGUGCAGCAGCAAGCAAGAAGUCGUGGCAGCAUCUACAUGUGAAGCGGAGUACAUAGCUGCUUCAGAAGCAGCUCACGAAGGAAUUUGGAUGAAGGAGCUCAUCACCAACCUUGGAGUGGUUCCAAGCUCGUCGGGUCCAAUGACACUCUUCUGUGAUAACACUGGGGCCAUUGCCAUAGCCAAGCAGCCCAGGUUUCACCGGAAGACAAAGCACAUCAAACGCCGCUACAACUCCAUCCAAGACCAUGUCCAGAGUGGAGUAAUAGAGAUUUGUAAAGUACACACGGAUCUGAAUGUUGCAGACCCUUGACUAAACCUCUUCCACGAGAAAAACAUGAUCAACACCAUAAUGCUAUGGGUGUUCGCUACAUCACAAUGUAACUAGAUUAUUGACUCUAGUGUAAGUGGGAGACUGUUGGAAAUAUGCCCUAGAGGCCAUAAUAAAAUGGUUGUUAUCAUAUUUCCUUGUUCAUGAUAAUCGUCUAUUGUUCAUGCUAUAAUUGUAUUAACAGGAAAGAGUAAUACAUGUGUGAAUAAAUAGAUCACAAUGUGUCCCUAGCAAGCCUCUAGUUGGCUAGCUCGUUAGUCAAUAGAUGAUCAUGGUUUCCUGGUCAUGGGCAUUAGAUGUCAUUGAUAACGGGAUCACAUCAUUGAGAGAAUGAUGUGAUGGACAAGACUCAAUCCUAAGCGUAGCACUAGAUCGUAUUGUUCGUAUGCUAAAGCUUUUCUAAUGUCAAAUGUCUUUUCCUUCGACCGUGAGAUUGUGCAACUCCCGGAUACCNNNNNNNNNNAGUGCUUUGGGUGUAUCAAACGUCACAACGUAACUGGGUGACUAUAAAGGUGCACUACGGGUACCUCUGAAAGUGUUUGUUGGGUUGGUACGAAUCGAGAUCGGGAUUUGUCACUCCGUGUGACGGAGAGGUAUCUCUGGGCCCACUCGGUAGAACAUCAUCAUGAGCUCAAUGUGACUAAGGAGUUAGUCACACGAUGACGUGCUACAGAACGAGUAAAGAGACUUACCGGUAACGAGAUUGAACAAGGUAUAGGUAUACCGACGAUCGAAUCUCGGGCAAGUUCUAUACCGACAAACAAAGGGAAUUGUAUACGGGAUUUAUUGAAUCCUUGACAUCGUGGUUCAUCUGAUGAGAUCAUCGUGGAGCAAGUGGGAGCCACCAUGGGUAUCCAGACCCCGCCGAUGGUUAUUGGCCGGAGAGGUGUCUCGGUCAUGUCUACGUGUCUCCCGAACCCGUAGGGUCUACACACUUAAGGUUCGAUGACACUAGGGUUAUAGGGAAUUGUUAUACGAGGUUAUCAAAAGUUUUUCGGAGUCCCGGGUGAGAUCCCGGACCUCACGAGGAGCUCCGGAAUGGUCUGGAGGUAAAGAUUGAUAUAUAGGACGGAUGGUUUCGGACACCGGAAGUGUUUCACGCGUCACCGAUAACGUACCGGGACCACCAGGACCACCGGAGGUGGCCUCGGGGGUCCACCGGAAGGGGGCAACGACCCCGGGAGGCUAGAUGGGCCAAGUGCGGGAGGGAACCAGUCCCUAGGUGGGCUGGUGCGCCCCCCACACUCAGCCCAAGGCGCAGGAGGUGGAGAGGGGGGAAACCCUAGGCGCUGGUGGGCCUAAGGCCCACCUAGGGGUGCGCCACCCCUCCCCCUUGCCAUGGCCGCCACACCUCCCAUCUGGGGGGGGGCUGCCGCACCACCUAGGGUGGGAACCCUAGGGGUGGCACCCCCCUCCCCUCCUCCUAUAUAUAGUGGGCACUUUUGGGCUUUUGGGCACACAGUUUUCCCUCUCCCUCGGCGCAGCCCUGCUCUUCUUUCUCCUCCUCUCUGCCGGUGCUUGGUGAAGCCCUGCCGGGAGACCUCGUCUCUCCAUCGACACCACGCUGUCGUGCUGCUAGAGAUCUUCCCCAACCUCUCCCUCCUCCUUGCUGGANNNNNNNNNNNNNNNNNNNNNNNNNNNNNNNNNNNNNNNNNNNNNNNNNNNNNNNNNNNNNNNNNNNNNNNNNNNNNNNNNNNNNNNNNNNNNNNNNNNNAAAGGUGCUCUACACGUAUCUCCGAAGGUGUCCCUUGAGUUAGCAUGGAUCAAGACUGGGAUUUGUCACUUCGUGUGACGGAGAGGUAUCUCGGGGCCCACUCGGUAAUACAACAUCACAUAUAAGCCUUGCAGGCAAUGUGGCUAAAGUGUUAGUCAUGGGAUGUUGUAUUACGAAACGAGUAAAGAGACUUGCCAGUAAUGAGAUUGAAAUAGGUAUAGGGAUACCGACGAUCAAAUCUCGGGCAAGUAACAUACCGAAGGACAAAGGGAAUGGUAUAUGGGAUUAUAUGAAUCCUUGGCACAGAGGUUCAACCGAUAAGAUCUUCGUAGAAUAUGUAGGAUCCAAUAUGGACAUAUAGGUCUCGUUGUUGUAUAUUGACCGGGGAGUGUGUGAGGUCAUGUCUGCAUAGUUCUCGAACCCGCAGGGUAUGCACACGUAAUGUUCGAUGACGUUUCGGUAUAGUUGAGUUAUAGGUGUUGGUGACUGAAGGUUUGUUCAGAGUCCCGGACGAGAUCAUGGAUGUCACGAGGGUUUCCGGAAUGGUCCAGAAACGAAGAUUGAUAUAUAGGAUUGUUUCAUUCGGCCUCCGAAAGAUUUCGGGCAUUGCCGGAAGUGUAUGAGGAGUGACGAAUGGGUUCCGGGUUUUUUACCGGGAGGGGCCACCCACCCGGGAGAGAACCUAAUAGCCCAUGGGUGGCGCACCAGCCCUUGGUGGGCUGUUGAGGCCAGCCCAAUAGGGCUAUUUCGGCUAAGGGAAAAAUCAAAGGAGAAAAGAGAAAAAAAAGAAGGACGUGGGAAGGAAGGAAGGAAGGGACUCCACCUUCCAAACCGACUUGGAGUGGGAGUCCCUCCUCCUCCCUUCGGCCGACGCUCUAGGGGCUCCCUUGAGCCCCAAGACUAGCCCCUCCCCUCCUCCUAUAUAUACUAGAUGUUUUAGGGUUUUUGAGACACAACUUUGCCACGUGCAACCCUAAACCUCUACUUCGUAGUUCUUCCUCUAGAUCGGUUUUCUGCGGAGGUCGGGCGGAGCCCUGCACGAAUAGAUCAUCACCAUCACCGGUGUGCCGUCUUGCUGCUGGAGAACUCAUCUACUUCCCUAUCUCUCUUGUUAUAUCAAGAAGGCUGAGACCGUCAUCGAGCUGUACGUGUGCUGAACGUGGAGGUGUCGUCCGUUCGGUAAUAGAUCGGGACGGGUCAUGGGACGACGGUGAUUUGAAUUACGAAGCUGUUCCACUACGUCAACCGCGUUUCUUAACGCUUCCGGCUUAGUGAUCUACAUGGGUAUGUGGAUCCGAUCUCCCUUUCGUAGAUGAACAUCACCAUGAUAGGUCUUCGUGUGGAUAGGAAAAAUUUUGUUUCCCAUGCAACGUUCCCCAACAUCUUCAUCUAUCAUCAGGGCUUCGGUACUACCUACCUUGUCCUCUACAUUGACGACAUCAUCCUGAUAGCAACCUCCUUAGUGCUGCUCCAGAAGAUCACUUCUCACCUCAGCGUCGAGUUUGCUCUCAAGGACUUGGGGGCUCUACAAUACUUCCUCGGCGUCACGGUCAUCUGCCGUCCUACUAGCUUAUUCCUGCAUUAGCAGAAGUACGCCUAUGAGAUUCUGGAACGAGCAAGCAUGCUUAAUUGCAAGACUUCGUCUACACCUAUUGAUACGAAUGCUAAGGUGUCCGCUAUCGAGGGAUCUCCAGCGUCCGAUGCCGCCUUCUAUAGUUCCAUUGCUAGUGCUCUUUAGUAUCUCAUGCUCACGCGACCAUAUCUGCAGUAUGCUGUGGGACAGGUGUGCCUCCACAUGCACUCUCCACAUGACACUCACUAGGCCCUGGUGAAACGCAUUCUGUGCUAUAUUCGUGGUACCAUGGCUACGGGUCUCACUCUGACAGCUUCCUCCACCACCGAGCUCUUCGCCUACUCUAACGCGGAUUCGGCGGGCUGCACGGACACUCGUCGCUCCACCUGUGGCUAUUGUGUCUACCUAGGGCCCUCUUCGAUAUUGUGGUCGUCUAAACGACAACUCACGUGUCCCGCUUGAGCGCUGAGGCGGAGUACCGCGUUGUGGCUAAUGCCGUUGCGUAGUGUUCCUGGUUACGACAGCUGUUUCAGGAGUUGUUGGUUGAGGUUCCUAAGGUCACACUUGUGUUCUGCGAUAAUGUGUCUGCCGUCUACCUCUCGGCAAAUCCGGUUCAUCAUUAACACACCAAACACAUUGAGCUCGAUAUUCACUUUGUUCGUGAGCAGGUCGUGCUUGGCCGCAUUCAGUCCUACAUGUGCCAACUGAUGAGCAGUUCGCCGAUGUCAUGACAAAGGGGCUACCAUCCUCGACCUUCAAGAGUUUUCGGUCCAGCCUCUGCGUCUCCGACGACACUUCGACUGUGUGUGUGUGGGGGGGGGGAUUGAACAUGUAUACUCUCCGUACACGUCUAUAGGUCUUGGUUUGUAUAUUGCACCUGUCACGUCUCCUUCUCAUUGUAAUUUGUAUGUAACUUGGGAGACAAGAAAUGAGUUGCACCCCUUGUACCUAUAUAUGUGCCUGGUACACCAUCAGUAAGAAUCAUCGAUGCAUGCAAUCCCUAACUUACAGUUUACAUGGUUAUCAUGUUUAUUCCAUCACGAGAGAAAGAUAAAUCCGGGUCCAAGGAAAACAAAUGUAAUCACAUGUGAGCUCUACUAAGCAAAAAAACAUUUUUUAUUUUUUAUUUUUUUUGAAUAACCACUUGUGCUCCAGAUGACCAGAACAUAGUCAACCCCACAGGUUCGAAAAAAUGACUAUCAUUUUCNNNNNNNNNNNNNNNNNNNNNNNNNNNNNNNNNNNNNNNNNNNNNNNNNNNNNNNNNNNNNNNNNNNNNNNNNNNNNNNNNNNNNNNNNNNNNNNNNNNNACCUUGUUAGCAUUCUUAGGAUCGACAAAACCUUCGGGUUGUAUCAUAUACAACUCUUCCUUAAGGAAACCGUUAAGGAAUGCCGUUUUGACAUCCAUCUGCGAGAUUUCAUAAUCGAAAAAUGCAGCUAUUGCUAACAUGAUUCUGACGGACUUAAGCAUCGCUACGGGUGAGAAUGUCUCAUCGUAGUCAACUCCUUGAACUUGUGAAAAACCCUUUGCCACAAGUCGAGCUUUAUAAACGGUCACAUUGCCGUCAGCCUCCGUCUUCCUCUUAAAGAUCCAUUUGUUCUGAAUAGCCUUGCAGCCCUCAGGUAGUACCUCCAAACUCCACACUUUGUUCUCAUACAUGGAUCCUAUCUCGGACUUCAUGGCUUCUAGCCAUUUGUUGGAAUCUGGGCCCACCAUUGCUUCUUCAUAAUUUGCAGCUUCAUUGUUGUCUAACAACAUGAUUGAUAAGACGGGAUUACCGUACCACUCUGGAGCAGCACGUGGUCUCGUCGACCUGCGUGGUUCGACAGAAACUUGAACUGGAGUUUCAUGAUCAUCAUCAUUNNNNNNNNNNNNNNNNNNNNNNNNNNNNNNNNNNNNNNNNNNNNNNNNNNNNNNNNNNNNNNNNNNNNNNNNNNNNNNNNNNNNNNNNNNNNNNNNNNNNUAACUGGGUGACUAUAAAGAUGCUCUACAGGUAUCUCCGAAGGUGUUAGUUGAGUUAGUAUGGAUCGAGACUGGGAUUUGUCACUCCGUGUGACGGAGAGGAAUCUCGGGGCCCACUCGGUAAUACAACAUCACACACAAGCCUUGCAAGCAAUGUNNNNNNNNNNAUUGAGUUAGUAUGGAUCGAGACUGGGAUUUGUCACUCCGUGUGAUGGAGAGGAAUCUCGGGGCCCACUCGGUCAUACAACAUCACACACAAGCCUUGCAAGCAAUGUGACUUAGUGUAAGUUGCGGGAUCUUGUAUUACGGAACGAGUAAAGAGACUUGCCGGUAAACAAGAUUGAAANNNNNNNNNNNNNNNNNNNNNNNNNNNNNNNNNNNUAUCUUGUAUUAUGGAACGAGUAAAGAGACUUGCGGGUAAACGAGAUUGAAAUAGGUAUGCGGAUACUGACGAUCGAAUCUCGGGCAAGUAACAUACCGAAGGACAAAGGGAAUGACAUACGGGAUUAUAUGAAUCCUUGGCACUGAGGUUCAAACGAUAAGAUCUUCGUAGAAUAUGUAGGAUCCAAUAUGGGCAUCCAGGUCCNNNNNNNNNNAACUUAGUGUAAGUUGCGGGAUGUUGUAUUACGGAACGAGUAAAGAGACUUGCCGGUAAACGAGAUUGAAAUAGGUAUGCGGAUACUGAUGAUCGAAUCUCGGGCAAGUAACAUACCGAAGGACAAAGGGAAUGACAUNNNNNNNNNNGCUCGGGUCAUGUCUACAUAGUUCUCUAACCCGCAGGGUCUGCACACUUAAGGUUUGACGUUGUUAUAUGCGUAUUUGAGUUAUAUGGUUGGUUGCCGAAUGUUGUUCGGAGUCCCGGAUGAGAUCACAAACGUCAUGAGGGUUUCCGGAAUGGUCCGGAAACGAAGAUUGAUAUAUAGGAUGACCUCAUUUNNNNNNNNNNCGUAUUUGAGUUAUAUGGUUGGUUACCGAAUGUUGUUCGGAGUCCCGGAUGAGAUCAUGGACGUCACGAGGGUUUCCAGAAUGGUCCGGAAACGAAGAUUNNNNNNNNNNUGUAUUUGAGUUAUAUGGUUGGUUACCGAAUGUUGUCCGGAGUCCCGGAUGAGAUCACAGACGUCACGAGGGUUUCCGGAAUGGUCCAGAAACGAAGAUUGAUAUAUAGGAUGACCUCAUUUGAUUACCGGAAGGUUUUCGGAGUUACCGGGAAUGUACCGGGAAUGACGAAUGGGUUCCGGAUGUUCACCGGGGGGGCAACCCACCUCGGGGAAGCCCAUAGGCCUUGGGGGUGGCGCACCAGCCCUUAGUGGGCUGGUGGGACAGCCCAAGAAGGCCCUAUGCGCCAUAGGAAGAAAAUCAAAGAGAAAAGAAAAAACAGGAGGAGGUGGGAAAGGGAAGAAGGACUCCACCUUCCAAACCAAGUUGGAUUCGGUUUGGGAGGGGAGACCUUUCCCCCUUGGCUCGGCCGACCCCCUUGGGGGUCCUUGAGCCCCAAGGCAAGGCUCCCCCUCUUCCCCCUAUAUAUACGGAGGUUUUAGGGCUGAUUUGAGACGACUUUUCCACGNNNNNNNNNNNNNNNNNNNNNNNNNNNNNNNNNNNNNNNNNNNNNNNNNNNNNNNNNNNNNNNNNNNNNNNNNNNNNNNNNNNNNNNNNNNNNNNNNNNNNNNNNNNNNNNNNNNNNNNNNNNNNNNNNNNNNNNNNNNNNNNNNNNNNNNNCCUCGGGCGGAGCCGUGCUGAGAUAAGAUCACCACCAACCUCCGGAGCACUGUCACGCUGUCGGAGAACUCCUCUACCUCUCCGUCUAUCUUGCUGGAUCAAGAAGGCCGAGAUCUUCGUCGAGCUGUACGUGUGCUGAACGCGGAGGUGCCGUCCGUUCGGCACUAGAUCGUGGGACUGAUCGUGGAACUGAUCGCGGGACGGUUCGCGGGGCGGAUCGAGGGACGUGAGGACGUUCCACUACAUCAACCGCGUUCACUAACGCUUCUGCUGUACAGUCUACAAGGGUAUGUAGAUCACAUAUCCCCUCUCGUACAUGGACAUCACCAUGAUAGGUCUUCGUGCGCGUAGGAAAUUUUUUGUUNNNNNNNNNNNNNNNNNNNNNNNNNNNNNNNNNNNNNNNNNNNNNNNNNNNNNNNNNNNNNNNNNNNNNNNNNNNNNNNNNNNNNNNNNNNNNNNNNNNNNNNNNNNNNNNNNNNNNNNNNNNNNNNNNNNNNNNNNNNNNNNNNNNNNNNNGUCUUCUCGAGUAGAACACAAAAGUUUUUGUGGGCGGUGAUGUGCGUUUUGCUGCCCUCCUUAGUCUUUUCUUGAUUCUGCGGUAUUGUUGGAUUGAAGCGGCUUGGACCGACAUUACUCGUAUGCUUACGAUAGACUGGUUUCAUCGCUACGAGUAACACCGUUGCUCAAAGAGGACUGGCAAGUUUCGGUUUCUCCAACUUUAGUUGAAUCGGAUUUGACCGAGGAGGUCCUUGGAUGAGGUUAAAUAGCAACUCAUAUAUCUCCGUUGUGGUGUUUGCGUAAGUAAGAUGCGAUCCUACUAGAUACCCAUGGUCACCACGUAAAACAUGCAACAACAAAAUUAGAGGACGUCUAACUUGUUUUUGCAGGGUAUGCUUGUGAUGUGAUAUGGCCAACGAUGUGAUGUGAUAUAUUGGAUGUAUGAGAUGAUCAUGUUGUAAUAGAUAAUAUCGACUUGCACGUCGAUGGUACGGCAACCGGCAGGAGCCAUCAGGUUGUCUUUAAACUAACGUUUGUGCUUGCAGAUGCGUUUACUAUUUUGCUAGGAUGUAGNNNNNNNNNNAUAUCGACUUGCACGUCGAUGGUACGGCAACCGGCAUGAGCCAUAGGGUUGUCUUUAUACUAACGUUUGUGCUUGCAGAUGCGUUUACUAUUUUGCUAGGAUGUAGCUUUAGUAGUAAUAGCAUGAGUAGCAUGACAACCCCGAUGGCGACACGUUGAUGGAGAUCAUGAUGAUGGAGAUCAUGAUGUGACGCCGGUGACAAGAAGAUCGUGCCGGUGCUUUGGUGAUGGAGAUCAAGAAGCACGUGAUGAUGGCCAUAUCNNNNNNNNNNCGACAACCCCGAUGGCAACACGUUGAUGGAGAUCAUGGUGUGGCCCCGGUGACAAGAAGAUCGUGUCGGUGCUUUGGUGAUGGAGAUCAAGAAGCACGUGAUGAUGGCCAUAUCAUGUCACUUAUGAAUUGCAUGUGAUGUUAAUCCUUUUAUGCACCUUAUUUUUCUUAGAACGACGGUAGCAUUAUGAGGUGAUCUCUCACUAAAAUUUCAAGACGAAAUUGUGUUCUCCCCGACUGUGCACCGUUGCUACAGUUCGUCGUUUCGAGACACCACGUNNNNNNNNNNAGUGGCACACCAGCCCUUAGUGGGCUGGUGGGACAGCCCAAAAGGGCCCUAUGCGCCUAGGAAAGAAAAUCAAAGAGAAAAGAAAAAAAAGGGAGGUGGGAAGGGAAGGAAGGACUCCCACCCACCAAACCAAGUCCAACUCGGUCUGGGGGGGAGCCUUCCCCUUUGGACUCGUCCGACCCCCUUGGGGCUCCUUGAGCCCCAAGGCAAGGUCCCCUCCCUCCCACCUAUAUAUACGGAGGUUUUAGGGCUGAUUUGAGACGACUUUUCCACGGCAGCCCGACCACAUACCUCCACGGUUUUUCCUCUAGAUCGCGUUUCUGCGGAGCUCGGGCGGAGCCCUGCUGAGAUAAGAUCACCACCAACCUCCGGAGCGCCGUCAUGCUGCCGGAGAACUCUUCUACCUCUCCGUCUCUCUUGCUGGAUCAAGAAGGCCGAGAUCUUCGUCGAGCUGUACGUGUGCUGAACGCGGAGGUGUCGUCCGUUCGGCACUAGAUCGUGGGACUGAUCGCAGGACGGUUCACGGGGCGGAUCGAGGGACAUGAGGACGUUCCACUACAUCAACCGCGUUCACUAACGCUUCUGCUGUACGGUCUACAAGGGUACGUAGAUCACAUAUCCCCUCUCGUCGAUGGACAUCACCAUGAUAGGUCUUCGUGUGCGUAGGAAAAUUUUUGUUUCCCAUGCGACGUUCCCCAACAGCUGCCCGGUACCAAUCCUGGUGAUUACAUGAAGCAUUCAGUAAUUUUUUAUAUAGCUGAGGUAACAAAUAAACAAACAUAUGAAUACGUGCUCGGGAAGCCUCUGGUCAAACCUGAUCAUCCUCCUCUAACACCGAGGAUGCACGAAUUGCAUGAGUGGUACAUGAACAUCUUCAGGGAGACUGGGAAAGACGCUAUCUAUAUGAGAGUGAAAAAAGAUCACGAUUUCAUUGGAACUUCAGUGCUGCUUGUUCAAUUUGAGGAGUUAUUUCAGUUAUACAAUCAACUGGCCUCGACAAACAAUUCAUGACUUCCUACUGUUUGUAAGUAUUACUUCUAUAAUUAAGUCUCUAGCUCAUCUCGUUCAUUUCAUGUAUAUAUAAUUAUCCUUACUAUAUAUAUUAUGCAGCUUCAAGAUCGUCGAAUUAAAAAAAGCAGGAAUCUUCGACGUUGGGUUCAUUAGCCCAGAAGCCGUAAAUGUAUUGUCGGUACGAAAUGAAACCAAAGAGACCGAGGUUAGCUUGCUAAACUCUUUGCUUGCAAUUCAAAACAAAAGGGAAAUACUCUUUCCUUACAACUUCAAGUGAGUGUUGCUGUAUUCUCUGUAUACUCGUUUCGCUUACUCGAGGUUAAGUAAAUGUAAUUGAUGAGUUAUAUAUGCGUGCGCAGUUACCACUUUAUUCUGCUAUCCAUUAAGCUUGACGGGGUAAAAGUAAUUGUCUUAGACUCGAGACGUAAAGAUCCCGAGGAUUAUGCGGACAUGACUGCAAUGCUCAAGAAGUAAGUUCAGUCAAUACCAGGACCAUACCGGCAUGCAACUUUCAUUAAUUUCCUGAUAUCAAGUAAUCAUUUUCCUUGUCUGGCAAGGUUUGGAAGAAGUUCACCUCAAAGUCUCCCGGUCUAAACAAAGAGUUGCAAUUUACGCACCCCCCCCCGGUAAGUAGUACUAUCUAGUUCCGUGCAUCUCUAAUUGAUUCAAAUUUUCAUCAAUAUAUCAUUACCAUGCUUGCUUAUCAGUUUGAUUGAACUCUAUUCUCAUAAAGUGCUUGUACCAGGUAGCUGGAACUGAAAAAUGUGCAUACUACGUAUGCGAGUUCAUUCGCCUCUCAACCUCUGGGCGAGGCAUCUCUGACAAACAAUUUGAAGUACGUAAAUAAUAUUCACAAUUUUAUUUUAUAUAUUACCAUCAAUUGUGUUGAGUUUUAUUCAUAUAUAUAUGCAUGUAUUGACCCCCUUCUUUAAAUUAGAUCUGAAAGAAGCGGGAUGAACCCCUAUCAGAUGAUGGCAUACGAGCAAUCCAAGAGGAAUUGGCGGGAUUCUUUCUUGACCACGUCAUACGGAGAAUACCAUGUGAGCUAUUUGUGAUUGAAUCUUAGGUAGAUGAUGUUAGGCAUUGUAAAAGAUGUUAGGGAUUGUAAAUGGUUUCCUUCAUUUUCUUAUUAGCUAGCGUCAUGUUCUCUCUAUAUGUAUAGUAGCUAGCGUCGACCAAGCACGGAGAAAGAGAGGACACUUCUCUCUAGUAGCUAGCUAACACAAUAAAAAACCACUAAAUUAACCCUCCACCCCCACCCCCAUUCAGAAAAAACAAAACCCCCAGCUCCGGCCAGAUGCUGACGCGUGGAUGCCAUGUUGUCCCGGUUAGUAUGACCAACCGGGACUAACGGCCCUCCUGCUCGGGCUCCCCGCAGCGGACACGUGGAGACCCUUCGGUCCCGGUUGGUAAGCGAACCGGGACUAAAGGUUUUGGGCUUUAGUCCCGACACUUUAGUCCCGGUUCCGGAACCGGGGCUAAUGAGCCUAUGGAACCGGGACAAAUGUGCCUUUUUCUACUAGUGGUAGUCAUCGUAAGCCUUUAAUCCCCCCAUAAUGCGGAAAAACAAUGGUUUUUUGCAUGCAAAAAACGGCGACGAAACCAGUGAUGAUCCAAAAAAGUUAGGUAUGGAGCAAAGUAGUCCUUCUAUAGUAGCCGUGCGCCGCAGACCCUAUCCCGAUUGAUCAUUCUUCUUUUUUUGAUUGAGCCCUUGAAAUUAGGAAUAUGCUCUGCCGGUCCAUUUACUCUUACAUGUUCAUGAGCAUGAUCAUGUCCAGUUCUUCGUGUGAAUUCAACGAAUCGAAGAACUCAUCUUCAAUCAUUUGAUCGAACUAUGUCAGUCCAUACUCCUCGUCCAACGAAGCAUCAGAAUUCAUUGUUUUUCCUAAAAAUCGCAAGAAACGGGCUGGACAAUGUAUCGCAAGGGCCAGCUCGAGAAUUGUCGGGCGUACCACAGUGGUGUCCGGGCCGGCAACGACGUCGUGGGCUGUGAGGAUUGAAUAGAGGAGUGUUGUGUCGAUGUUGUCGGCGCACAUGCUCCGCAACGGCGGAGCAGGUGAGAUACGUUGGGGAGGAGCAACAGAAGAUAGCAAAUGGAUGGAUGGGGUAGAUUUGAUGCAAUUUAUGAUGGGGUAGGCCUCUAGGGCGGACGCAUCCGGACGCCUUCCUUAUCCGUCUUUGAUUUGGUUGAUCAGCCCGGGUGUUUGAGGCGUUCACGUGAAUCAUAUUUUUGUGACCAGUCAAUGAUCAAACCGUAUGUGUGAAUGUUUGGAGCGGGUUUGAGAUGCUCGGCUUACCCGUCAGAAUGUCAUACCUUAUUUCUAUAUGUCUGUUCUUGCACGCCCAGUUACCGGUGAGAUUGAACGAUGUGCAAAUGAUACAGCAGGAUGUCUCGGUAGCUAAAAAGUAGGAUCUGAUGUGUGUUGUACUCCAAAUUCCGUGCGUACGUAGCGACGACGUAACGAGGAGCGUCCAAGCAAGAUCCAAUUGUUUGUAACGCGUAUAACCCUGCUUAGCACCUGGCCGUUGCCAAUAAUUUGAGUGUGGCAUGGUAGCUGUGGCUACCUGUCCUCGCCAGCAAAGCAUCUUCUGUUCAUGUCCAUUUGGAUGCUGAACGAUUGUCCAAUGCUAUGCUUUGGACAGUUGCGCAAGCUAGCUAGCUUCCUUAUAUUCAACAAUUAGCUGGUCAGCUGUUAAGAUGCUUUGGCUUAGUUAGGUUGCUGCAGCAUCCAGCUUCAUGGCUUUGUGCAAACGGUUUGUCAACUUGGAAUUCUUGUGGUUUUCUUUUGUAGGACGACGGAGGUUUUUGGGCGGCAAGAUAUAAGCGCCAGCUAGAACUUGGGACAUACUAGCAACGAACAAAAUCUGCUUGGGAAAUGAGUGUCGAAGCUUGGCUACAUCCUACAUGCUCGACGUAUAUUGUACCGCAUCAUGCACGUAUGGUGUGGCCCACACAUGCAUAUACACCGACAAAUGUACUCCCACUGACUGGUGCCCGGAUUCAGAAUACAGAAUACGAGGAUCCAGUGAGAUCCAAGUCCAGAGCUAGCGCGAGGACCAAACCACGGAUUACCCCGAUACGUCGGCCACCGCCCAAGAACUGGUCAUGUAGUACGAGUACACCUGUCGACCGCCGGCUGCAUACGGAUACGGCCACAUGCACCCGCGCGCGCCCAAGUUCCGCGGGAAACGGGCGUAUAACGGUCAGGUCUGGUCGGUCCUUGCCGUCACACGCCCAGCCGGCAGCGGGACGGGCGCGUCAAGGCGAUGACAGCUGGGGAAAAUCAAGCUCCGCGGAUCGCCCAACACCAGCCCAAUUGUCUAGUCGGCGAGCCAGCGCGCGCCUUUAAUUCCAUCGCCGAAAAUACGUAUCUGUUUAUUCAAGAAUUGUUUAGGAAAAAGUUGGGAACGGAAGAAAGAAACCGGCACCCGUAUCCUCCCCGCUGAGUAAUGCUACACCUACAAAGGCUUACUUAAAGAUUUUACGUACAAACUGAUGUGUAAGAUUGUGAUGGUUAUUGAGGGAUGAGGGGCCCCACCCUUACUGAAAAUCAUGGAAGGAGAGAAGAGUUAGUUUAAAAGGUUAAGUAAACUUUUGUAAGUUUUUAUUGAUCCUCCCCCGCCCUCGCACUCCUCACCCAUGUCACCGUCCGCCUUGACGCCGCCCGGUGUUAUCACGUGCGCCGCCACGCGCAGCGUCUACGUGGAGGCCACAGGCGCAGCGGAGCCGGCCGACUGGAAGCCGUAAAAGUGUUUUCUAGUAGGUGACCGGCGGCGAUGCCGUUCGUGCGCGCGGACGGACGCGCACCGGCCGUCGUGCCCGCCGCGCUCGCGCGCUGGCUCACGGGAUUCGCGAGCUCCGCGGGGGUGGGCCAGCGCGCGCAGCGCAAUCGCGCUGGGUGGGUCGAUCGGGGGCCCCUUGCCUGCUCCCCGCCAUGCGCCAUGUCGCCGUCAACGUACCGCUCAUGGGUUUCGUGCCCGGCCCAGUUUCGCAGCGCUCGCUUGCGACACGCGCUCUGUGAUCUCAGCCACUCCAUCCGGAUAUGGACACCCCCAGCGCUCGUCCGCUCACCUGCCCCUCCCAGCCUCGGGUAUUUGGGUAACCGCUACUACUUGUCAGGACCAUGCAAGCAAAACUGGAUUGGUUCAAGAUGGAUGAACCGCUGUUGAUAUCGAGAGCAGGCUUUGCCGUGAAUAUAUAUGGUUAGACGACGACGCUGCGAAGCUAUCUAUAAUAUGCAUCCACCGUUCGACCCUGCCAUAUCACUUCACCCCAUACUGUCACGCCAAAGCCGGCACCACCCCCAACCUACCACGUCUCCCCGCCCGCGCCCGCGCCAGCUCCGGCUUUGCCCAGGCACGUCCGUCGACACAAUUCCGAUAGUCCAGCCAGCCAGCCAUUCAUCCGCUGCGAUCUCUCUCCCUUAUUAGUACGCCCCCACCCUCUCCCUCUCCUGCCCACAGUCCCACUCCCACGACACCAACAGCUGCGCCAACAGCAACAGCCCAGCUCCCCACUACCAGACGUACCACGUACAGAGCUUAGCACCACCCAUGGCCGCGGAGGAGCCCAAGAAGGUGGAGGUGGAGGCGGCGCCGGAGCCGGAGCCCGCACCCCCGGCGGCGGAGCCUGAGGCCCCCGCCAAGGACGUCACCGAGGAGAAGGCCGUCAUCCCCGCGCCCGCGNNNNNNN
rnacentral:lncRNA from 1 species